rnacentral:lncRNA from 1 species
ACUGUGAAGUCACAAGAGGCCCUGAGCUCUGUGGGCCCCAGGUGCCCCGGGAAAACUUGGGGGAGAAUGGGCAUCCCACCCCAGCACUUUCUAGGAAGAAGGGCAGCAUUUUGAAGGGCUGGAAGUAGAGGAAGGAGGUUGCGGGUAGAAGACUCCAUACUUUCUGUGACGCCUAUUCCUUAGGAAUCAAGGCUAUCUGUAAUCACAGGGCUAUUUGAAAAAGAGAAGAAAAGGUGUCUUGAAAUUCAACCAACAUGUUUCAAUUAUUUGCUCCUAAGAACAACAGAAGUUUCAACAUUCUGCCAACAGAGUAACUCCUGGAAGAUUGGCACAGAAGAAGGCACAAGGAAGUCAGUGAUAAAAAUAUUUAAGCAGCUUUGUCUGCCUUAGACCUUCCAACUAAAAGUACAGCAAGUGGAAUGGAAUGCUAAUAUGAGGAUCCAAAUUUUCAGGGAAGGAGGAGAGCCUUUAUAUAACCAAAGAUAUUUUUGGACCAUGAAUUCAGAAAUUCUCGGAGCCACCCAUCAGUGCCUGAGCUUCAGUGAGUCCAUAUCCCAUGUCACCCACGGCAAAGGAGACUCUAAGACUUCUGAAGAGUUUCUUGCUUCUUUCCUGUGGGGCAGUGACUCCACUUCCCAGCAGUAAUGGAAUAUCCUGAAUUAGCUACAUUAAUGUUAGAACCAUUUGGACCUCACCCAGGACUUCAACUACAUUAUGGAUGUUAUAAGAAAUGAGACUCACUACUGAAUUCACAGCAGGCAUGGUUGAAGGCACCAUUCACUAUAGCUUGCAGUGUUCCCUUUAUGAGAUUUGUAUGAGAAAUUCCUCUCAUAGGUCAAGUUCUUGGGAGAAAAUUCUCCCAAAGAGCAAGUCCCAGGAAAAUCUUGGCUGCUAAAGUUACAGAACCCAAAUUUGGCAACUGUCUGCAUCUGAACAACAGAAGUUUCAACAUUCUGCCAACAGAGUAACUCCUGGACGAUUGGCACAGAAGAAGGCACAAGGCAAAUACCCAUCUCUGUACACCCUGUGCUACUGUGUCAUGUGCUGCUCCAGGCAACUCCAAUGGAUUGGCCACCCUGGCCAAUGUGCCCUCCAAACACCAGCACUGAGUAGAAAGAGGCUCUGAUUCAUGAAAUGUGAAUUUAUGACAGUUGCCACUCUUAAAAAAAAAAACAAACAGACAGAACUUGAGCAAUACAUGACUGAUGCAUUCUCAGCCUGCUUCCUGUGUUCCAUCUGUCUUUCUGCCAGUGCAUUCACCCUCCAGGUUUGAAAGUAGUCGGGCAAGAAAGUACUAAACAUAGAGAAAGGGCAAUUCCAAAAGAACAAAUGAUUGCUUAAUUUAGGCUGACAUUACCCAGUUGCUGGGGGUAUGGGCCAUGGGGAUGGGCCAUGUUCACCACUUAGGUUGGGCAAAUUCCCAAGAUGCCUUUUGACAUAGUAAUGAGGGGGAAUACAUCACUCAUGCCCACU